rnacentral:rRNA from 1 species
UACGUAGGGUGCAAGCGUUGUCCGGAAUUAUUGGGCGUAAAGAGCUUGUAGGCGGUUUGUCGCGUCUGCUGUGAAAUUUCGGGGCUCAACCCCGAACUUGCAGUGGGUACGGGGCAGACUAGAGUGUGGUAGGGGAGACUGGAAUUCCUGGUGUAGCGGUGAAAUGCGCAGAUAUCAGGAGGAACACCUAUUGCGAAGGCAGCUCGCUGGGACGUAACUGACGCUGAGACGCGAAAGCGUGGGGGAGCAAACAGG